AACUGCUCAAUUACUUAUCCGAAGCAUCUGGGUUACCUUACAAUUUGUGUGCUGUUGUUUUAAAAAUAUUUUGUUUAUUAUUGUAUUAAUUUGUGUGUUUUGUAUUUUUCAUAGUUGCAUUUAGUGUGCCAAAAAAUAUGAAAAUUUGACGUUCGUGACGUCACAUACAAUAUGAAAACUCGAUGUUCGUGACGUCACAUACCAAACAAUGACGUCAUUCAAAAAAUUUACCUAUUUUGAGGAAAAUUUUUCUUAAGCAAAAAAAAAACCAAAACUGACUUUAUCUAAAAAAAAAAAAAAAAAAAAAAAGUAGGGGUGUGAAAAGGUAGGGGUGUGAUAAAGGGUAUGCGAUAAAGGGUAGGGGUGUAAUAAAGGGUAUGCGAUAAAGGGUGCGCAUCAAAGGUGCGCGAUAUGGAUUAAAAAGCAGGC
rnacentral:lncRNA from 1 species